GGGAAAGUUGAAAAGUACUUUGAAGAGAGAGUAAACAGUGCGUGAAACCGCUCAGAGGUAAACGGGUGGAGUUGAACUGCAAGCUUUGAGAAUUCAACUGGUGAGUAUGGUACGAGCUUGGUCUUUUGAUUGACGGUCUGGGUCUGCUGAGCUGCAGGUCCUCGCCUUUUGGUGGGGAUGUGCGAGUCACUUAUCAAGUGCUGUGCGCCCGGGCCGUUUCGGAUCUGCUUGCCAGUGCACUUUCUCAGAGUAGUCACCACGACCGGCGUUGCCGUCUGGCUGUUGUAGUUAAACCGGUCUUGUAGAGUCCUUGUGGCUUUGCUUGGUCGGGAUGGCAGGUAGCCCGUUGUGUACCUCGGUGUGCUUCGGGUGUAAUCGCUGACUGCAUCAGUUCUGUGCGGUACGUCGGAGACGGCGGCUUGUUGUGUGUGCGUGCGUGCUUGUUAUGCUGGCAGCGCUGAGGCUGGUUGCCGUGUUGCUUGUGAAUGCAAGCCCGGUGAUGCUUCGGUGUUGUUCGGUGUGCAGUUGCGUGCGUGGCACCAUGCAGGGCCAAUAGUCUGUGGUGUAGUGGUAGACUAUCCACCUGACCCGUCUUGAAACACGGACCAAGGAGAGUAACAUGUACGCGAGUCAUUGGGCGUUACGAAACCCAAAGGCGCAGUGAAAGUAAAGGUUCGGCUUGUCCGGACUGAGGUGAGAUCCUGUCGUUYCUCACGCGCGGUACUACCAAGCAUCGAGCGGCAGGCGCAUCACCGGCCC
rnacentral:rRNA from 1 species